rnacentral:rRNA from 1 species
GUAGGGAAUCUUCCGCAAUGGACGAAAGUCUGACGGAGCAACGCCGCGUGAGUGAUGAAGGUUUUCGGAUCGUAAAGCUCUGUUGUUAGGGAAGAACAAGUACCGUUCGAAUAGGGCGGUACCUUGACGGUACCUAACCAGAAAGCCACGGCUAACUACGUGCCAGCAGCCGCGGUAAUACGUAGGUGGCAAGCGUUGUCCGGAAUUAUUGGGCGUAAAGGGCUCGCAGGCGGUUUCUUAAGUCUGAUGUGAAAGCCCCCGGCUCAACCGGGGAGGGUCAUUGGAAACUGGGGAACUUGAGUGCAGAAGAGGAGAGUGGAAUUCCACGUGUAGCGGUGAAAUGCGUAGAGAUGUGGAGGAACACCAGUGGCGAAGGCGACUCUCUGGUCUGUAACUGACGCUGAGGAGCGAAAGCGUGGGGAGCGAACAGGAUUAGAUACCCUGGUAGUCCACGCCGUAAACGAUGAGUGCUAAGUGUUAGAGGGUUUCCGCCCUUUAGUGCUGCAGCAAACGCAUUAAGCACUCCGCCUGGGGAGU